UACGUAGGGUGCAAGCGUUAAUCGGAAUUACUGGGCGUAAAGCGUGCGCAGGCGGUUGUGCAAGACCGAUGUGAAAUCCCCGGGCUCAACCUGGGAAUGGCAUUGGUGACUGCACGGCUAGAGUGUGUCAGAGGGGGGGUAGAAUUCCACGUGUAGCAGUGAAAUGCGUAGAGAUGUGGAGGAACACCGAUGGCGAAGGCAGCCCCCCUGGGUCAAGAUUGACGCUCAUGCACGAAAGCGUGGGGAGCAAACAGG
rnacentral:rRNA from 1 species